GUGCUCAAUCGUUCAAUUUCUCUGCGUCUCUUUCAGCAAUCGCUGUUCCUCGCAUCUCCUCGUCGCAUUCUCUCAUUAGGGUUUUAUAUAGAUAUUAAGUUCUAUUUUCGGAGUUUCCAGCCACACUCACUUGCUCCUUCGAUUCACUGCCGUUGUUUUCUUCGCAAUCGUCCAAAUCAUCUCUUUCCGGCAACCGGCAACACCGUUCAAGGUUUUUCAUCAAUUCAAUUUACCAAUCCACUUUAUAAAGGUUCAAAUUGCUUUUCCAUCACUUUUCAACCUUUGGUUUAAAACAUGGCUUCUGUAGCUCAGGUCCAUUCUCCUCAUAUUACUGAAAACUACCAUCGUCUUCAUCACAUUUCUACCUUCCAAUUACCAGAUAGAAAACUCCUUUUCAAAUCCUCCCUAAACUUUACGUUUCCCUCCCUAAAAUCAAAGCCCUUUAACCCCAACUUACUACCUGAAUUCCAACCACUUCUCUGCGGUGCUGGUGGCAGCAACUAUGGAAGCAAUGGAGGAGGAAAUGAUGGCAGUCAUGGUGGAGGUGGAGGUGAAGGUGGAGAUGGAAAAUCCGAUGAUUCACCUCAAUCCGAUGGUUUUGGACCAAUUGGGGCCUUUCUUAGCGGGUGGAGAUCAAGAGUUGCUGCUGAUCCCCAGUUUCCAUUCAAGAUCCUAAUGGAAGAACUGGUGGGCGUGAGUGCAGCUGUUCUUGGUGACAUGGCAACCCGUCCAAAUUUUGGGCUCAAUGAACUCGAUUUUGUGUUUUCCACACUUGUAGUAGGUUCAAUUCUUAAUUUCACCCUUAUGUAUCUGUUAGCACCCACUAUGUCUUCUUCAUCAAUUUCCCUUCCUUUCAUAUUCGCCAAUUCCCCUACAAGCCACAUGUUUGAGCCUGGUUCAUAUACUCUCAUGAACCGUUUAGGAACCCUAGUUUACAAAGGAACUCUAUUUGCAGCCGUUGGAUUAGCUGCAGGGUUAGCAGGAACUGCACUCUCCAAUGGCUUGAUCAAGAUGAGGAAGAAGAUGGAUCCCAGCUUUGAAUCACCAAACAAACCUCCGCCCAUGUUUUUAAAUUCCAUAACUUGGGCAAUGCAUAUGGGUGUAAGCAGUAAUCUGAGGUACCAAACUUUGAAUGGAAUCGAGUUCUUGUUGCAAAAAGGUCUCCCAACUGUUUUCUUCAAGACCUCUGUGGUUGGAUUGAGAUUGGUGAACAAUGUUCUUGGAGGGAUGACAUUUGUGAUGUUGGCAAGGGCAACAGGGUCACAGAGCUCUGGUACUGAAAAGAAGAUAAGUAGCAAUCUUGAUGAAAAGGUUCCACAUUCAGAUUAAGUGAAGUUGGUUUGAGAGGAUUCAGUUGUUUUAGGCUUUUAGCAAUGAAGUUUUUUCAAAAGACUACUACUAUCUGGAAUAAAUUUGUAGCUGAUAAGAAGAUAAGUGUAAGAGGUGAAGAAGGUAGAGAUAGGAAGGACUAGUUGUGUCAUUUUGCUGAACUAUGAGGGUAGCAGAGUUAAAAGGAAACUGGAGGACUGUAGCUGAAAUAUCGGAAGUUAUCUAAUGAAGUAGAGAGAAAAAAAAGCGAUUUAGGGUUUUGUACGUAUCUUCAUCUUCAUGAUAUGUUCUUCAGAAUUUUAUCAGUGGAUUGUUCUUUUGCA